rnacentral:tRNA from 1 species
GGUUUCAUCGUAUAACGGUUAGUACAUAAGAUUCUGAUCCGCCGGAUAGUUCUUGUAAUCUGGGUUCGAUUCCCAGUGAGACCU